CCCCCUUUUAAUGUGUGUGUUAGCAGGUGCCAAGAUGCAGGAAAUGGAACAGGACCCGUUUUUAUGUACUUUCGAUCUAGCAGAUGAUUUAUCUGACAUCUUGACUGAUCACUUCCUGGGGAGACUAGUGGAUCCUAACCUCGACACUGAGGGGUUCUUUGACGAUCCACUGUUUAAUUGUGAGGAGGAACUCAGCACCUGCAGUAAGGAACUCUUUCUUUCAUUUUGCUGACAG